rnacentral:miRNA from 14 species
AUAAGUAUGUCCUAUGCCACAUUUGGGGCAUACUUAUACUAAAAAAUCAUUUGCUGUUUAUCUGAAAUUCUCAUUUCAGAAAUUU